rnacentral:tRNA from 1 species
UGGUCGUAGUAGGGGCGUGUGACGGGGAUGAGCACCUCGUCGACCAGCUGGGUGACCAGCUCGUCGGUGAUCGGGUCACCGGUGAUCAGC